UCUAUCAGACUCCCACUCACAAUACAGUUAGGGAAACACGCCCACUUUCUCUCCUCUCUAUCAGACGGACCUUAACUCUCAAUACUCUUCAACAAUGUGAGUUUUUUACUUCAAAUACAAAAAAAUUGGGCAUGAAUCUAGGGUUAAUGUCUGAAAAAUAGAAGAAAACUUUCGAAAUUGCAGAUUUUUGCUGCAGAACUCUGAAAUUCUAAGUCGUAUGUUGCUGCUCCACAAGAUUCUCAGGUGAAAGGGAACAUGGACAAUCUAGAGCAUGAUUGGAUGUACAAAAGGUUAGAUGGCCGAGGGUGUACUAAAUCAGUUUCAUAACUGGUGUGAAAAAGUUUCUCCAGUUUGCUUGUUCUCAGCGCAAUCGCAUGAGUGGUGACAAUGUUAGAUGUCCAUGUAAAAAAUGUCACAACAUUAAAUACAUGGAUGUUGAAACUGUUAAAUUGCACCUUUAUCAGUAUGGAUUUGUUGAGAACUAUUUUCUUUGAAAGUUUCAAGGAGAAAAAAAUGUGACCUAUGAGAUGUCUUCUAGUGGUGAUUUGCAUGGUGGUGCUCAACCUGAAUCGGGAUAUGAGAAUCCAUACCGAUAAAUGGUCUUGGAUGCAGCUGGACCCAAUUUUGGCCAUGGUUUAAGCUGGCAGUCCUAUAAUAAUAUUGAAACCUGAGUUGUCUCUUGUUCUGCUUUUAAUAUACUGUGCUUGAAAUUAUUGUUUGAGAAUUUCUUUUCGAAAAA